rnacentral:rRNA from 1 species
AGAGCGAACGCUGGCGGCAGGCCUAACACAUGCAAGUCGAGCGGCCGUAGCAAUACGGCAGCGGCAGACGGGAUAGUAACACGUGGGAACGCGCCCUUCGGUUCGGAAUAACUCAGGGAAACUUGAGCUAAUACCGGAUACGCCCUUACGGGGAAAGAUUUAUUGCCGAAGGAACGGCCCGCGUCCGAUUAGCUAGUUGGUGAGGUAAUGGCUCACCAAGGCUACGAUCGGUAGCUGGUCUGAGAGGAUGACCAGCAUCACUGGGACUGAGACACGGCCCAGACUCCUACGGGAGGCAGCAGUGGGGAAUAUUGGACAAUGGGCGCAAGCCUGAUCCAGCCAUGCCGCGUGGAUGAUGACGGCCUUAGGGUUGUAAAGCUCGUUUUAACGGGGAAGAUAAUGACGGUACCCGUAGAAUAGCCCGGCUAACUUCGCGCCAGCAGCCGC